AGGACGAACGCUGGCGGCGUGCUUAACACAUGCAAGUCGAGCGGAAAGGCCCUUCGGGGUACUCGAGCGGCGAACGGGUGAGUAACACGUGAGUAAUCUGCCCCUAGCUCUGGGAUAGCUCCGGGAAACCGGGAUUAAUACCGGAUACGACCCCUUCGGACAUCUGAAGGGGUGGAAAGAUUUAUCGGCUAGGGAUGAGCUCGCGGCCUAUCAGCUUGUUGGUGGGGUAACGGCCCACCAAGGCGACGACGGGUAGCCGGCCUGAGAGGGCGACCGGCCACACUGGGACUGAGACACGGCCCAGACUCCUACGGGAGGCAGCAGUGGGGAAUAUUGCGCAAUGGGCGAAAGCCUGACGCAGCGACGCCGCGUGGGGGAUGAAGGCCUUCGGGUUGUAAACCCCUUUCAGCAGGGACGAAGCGAAAGUGACGGUACCUGCAGAAGAAGCGCCGGCUAACUACGUGCCAGCAGCCGCGGUAACACGUAGGGCGCAAGCGUUGUCCGGAAUUAUUGGGCGUAAAGAGCUCGUAGGCGGUCUGUUGCGUCCGCUGUGAAAACUCGGGGCUUAACCCCGAGCCUGCAGUGGAUACGGGCAGACUAGAGGUAGGUAGGGGAGAAUGGAAUUCCCGGUGUAGCGGUGAAAUGCGCAGAUAUCGGGAGGAACACCGGUGGCGAAGGCGGUUCUCUGGGCCUUACCUGACGCUGAGGAGCGAAAGCGUGGGGGAGCGAACAGGAUUAGAUACCCUGGUAGUCCACGCCGUAAACGUUGGGCGCUAGGUGUGGGAUCCUUCCACGGAUUCCGUGCCGCAGCUAACGCAUUAAGCGCCCCGCCUGGGGAGUACGGCCGCAAGGCUAAA
rnacentral:rRNA from 1 species